rnacentral:rRNA from 1 species
GACAGAGGUCUCAAGCGUUAGGCGGAAUCACUGGGCUUAAAGCGUGUGUAGGUGGAUUUCUAAGUGCCUUGUGAAAUCCCACGGCUUAACCGUGGAACUGCUGGGCAUACUGGGAGUCUUGAGCCAUCUAGGGGCGACUGGAACAAACGGUGGAGCGGUGAAAUGCGUAGAUAUCGUUUGGAACGCCAAUGGUGAAAACAGCUAGCUGGGGAUGUGCCGACGCUGAGACACGAAAGCCAGGGGAGCGAACGGG